GAUGAACGCUGGCGGCGUCCUUAACACAUGCAAGUCGAACGAACCUUCGGGUUAGUGGCGGACGGGUGAGUAACGCGUGAGAAUCUGCCCUCAGGAGGGGGACAACAGCUGGAAACGGCUGCUAAUACCCCAUAUGCCGCGAGGUGAAAUGAAUUUCGCCUGAGGAUGAGCUCGCGUCUGAUUAGCUAGUUGGUGUAGGUAAUGGCUCACCAAGGCAUCGAUCAGUAGCUGGUCUGAGAGGAUGAUCAGCCACACUGGGACUGAGACACGGCCCAGACUCCUACGGGAGGCAGCAGUGGGGAAUUUUCCGCAAUGGGCGAAAGCCUGACGGAGCAACGCCGCGUGAGGGAUGAAGGCCUCUGGGCUGUAAACCUCUUUUAUCAAGGAAGAAGAUCUGACGGUACUUGAUGAAUAAGCCACGGCUAAUUCCGUG
rnacentral:rRNA from 1 species